UCGUGAGCCGCUACGUUACAUUAGGUUCGCAAGUGGUUAGCACGUGCCUUCUGCUGACCAAAGUCAAAGGCUUAGCCAAUUCAAAGCUUUUGAAGUCGCACACCGAUCAAUAAAAUCUAGUCCGCACAAAAGAUCAGGCGAAAACCCACUGUUCAACGUGGGAGCGAGUCUGGAGCGGUUUCUGGAGCGGCGCGAGACCGGAAUUUGCGGCUCGAAACAUCCGUUCGAGGUUAGGUCGAACCACCCUAACCACGUGACUGAGGCGUCACUCACUGGGAAAACCGACGCCACCCCUUCGUGAACGCUAGAAUCUCCACUAAACAUCGCGCGAAGCAAGCAUCCGACG